UACGGAGGGUGCGAGCGUUGUCCGGAAUCACUGGGCGUAAAGGGUGCGCAGGUGGGUUGGCAAGUUUGAUGUGAAAGCCCCGGGCUUAACCCGGGAAUGGCAUUGAAUACUGCUGAUCUGGAGGAUCGGAGGGGGGACUGGAAUUCUUGGUGUAGCAGUGAAAUGCGUAGAUAUCAAGAGGAACACCAGUGGCGAAGGCGAGUCCCUGGACGAUACCUGACACUGAGGCACGAAAGCCAAGGGAGCAAACAGG
rnacentral:rRNA from 1 species